rnacentral:rRNA from 1 species
CCGCCCACUCCGUGAUGUUAGCGGCCCGAACGGGUGAGUAACACGUGGGUUUCCUGCCUGUAAGACUGGGAUAACUCCGGGAAACCGGAGCUAAUACCGGAUAGUUCCUUGAACCGCAUGGUUCAAGGAUGAAAGACGGUUUCGGCUGUCACUUACAGAUGGACCCGCGGCGCAUUAGCUAGUUGGUGGGGUAAUGGCUCACCAAGGCGACGAUGCGUAGCCGACCUGAGAGGGUGAUCGGCCACACUGGGACUGAGACACGGCCCAGACUCCUACGGGAGGCAGCAGUAGGGAAUCUUCCGCAAUGGACGAAAGUCUGACGGAGCAACGCCGCGUGAGUGAUGAAGGUUUUCGGAUCGUAAAGCUCUGUUGUUAGGGAAGAACAAGUGCGAGAGUAACUGCUCGCACCUUGACGGUACCUAACCAGAAAGCCACGGCUAACUACGUGCCAGCAGCCGCGGUAAUACGUAGGUGGCAAGCGUUGUCCGGAAUUAUUGGGCGUAAAGGGCUCGCAGGCGGUUUCUUAAGUCUGAUGUGAAAGCCCCCGGCUCACCCGGGGAGGGUCAUUGGAAACUGGGAAACUUGAGUGCAGAAGAGGAGAGUGGAUUCCACGUGUAGCGGUGAAAUGCGUAAAGAUGUGGAGGAACACCAGUGGCGAAGGCGACUCUCUGGUCUGUAACUGACGCUGAGGAGCGAAAGCGUGGGGAGCGAACAG